rnacentral:rRNA from 3 species
UACAGAGGGGGCAAGCGUUAUUCGGAAUUAUUGGGCGUAAAGGGCGCGUAGGCGGCGUCUCAAGUGGAUGGUGAAAUCCCCGGGCUUAACCUGGGAACUGCCGUCCAAACUGAGAGGCUUGAGUCCGGGAGAGGUAAGUGGAAUUCCCAGUGUAGCGGUGAAAUGCGUAGAUAUUGGGAGGAACACCAGUGGCGAAGGCGGCUUACUGGACCGGAACUGACGCUGAGGCGCGAAAGCGUGGGGAGCAAACAGG